AGUGGCGAACGGGUGAGUAAUGCAUCGGAACGUGCCCAGUCGUGGGGGAUAACGCAGCGAAAGCUGUGCUAAUACCGCAUACGAUCUAUGGAUGAAAGCGGGGGAUCGAAAGACCUCGCGCGAUUGGAGCGGCCGAUGUCAGAUUAGCUAGUUGGUGGGGUAAAGGCCCACCAAGGCGACGAUCUGUAGCUGGUCUGAGAGGACGACCAGCCACACUGGGACUGAGACACGGCCCAGACUCCUACGGGAGGCAGCAGUGGGGAAUUUUGGACAAUGGGCGCAAGCCUGAUCCAGCAAUGCCGCGUGCAGGAAGAAGGCCUUCGGGUUGUAAACUGCUUUUGUACGGAACGAAAAGGUCUGGGUUAAUACCCUGGGCUCAUGACGGUACCGUAAGAAUAAGCACCGGCUAACUACGUGCCAGCAGCCGCGGUAAUA
rnacentral:rRNA from 1 species